rnacentral:rRNA from 1 species
AACGAACGCUGGCGGCGUGCCUAAUACAUGCAAGUCGAGCGAAUGGAUUAAGAGCUUGCUCUUAUGAAGUUAGCGGCGGACGGGUGAGUAACACGUGGGUAACCUGCCCAUAAGACUGGGAUAACUCCGGGAAACCGGGGCUAAUACCGGAUAACAUUUUGAACCGCAUGGUUCGAAAUUGAAAGGCGGCUUCGGCUGCCACUUAUGGAUGGACCCGCGUCGCAUUAGCUAGUUGGUGAGGUAACGGCUCACCAAGGCAACGAUGCGUAGCCGACCUGAGAGGGUGAUCGGCCACACGGGGACUGAGACACGUCCCAGACUCCUACGGGAGGCAGCAGUAGGGAAUCUUCCGCAAUGGACGAAAGUCUGACGGAGCAACGCCGCGUGAGUGAUGAAGGCUUUCGGGUCGUAAAACUCUGUUGUUAGGGAAGAACAAGUGCUAGUUGAAUAAGCUGGCACCUUGACGGUACCUAACCAGAAAGCCACGGCUAACUACGUGCCAGCCGCCGCCGUAA